rnacentral:misc_RNA from 1 species
AUUUUAUUUACUUUUCUCUAUAUUUUUAUUUUGAUGAAAAAGCUUUUGAAUUCAAAGUAAAUUUUUAGUUUAACCUUUAGAAAAAAUAAAUCUUUAGAAAGUGUUUAGUAUUAUACAGUUUCAUAUUAAAUUAAACGUUGUUAAUAGUAAACAUAAUUUUAGAUUUUGAGUUGAAAGUUUUUUAUAUUGAUAAAUAUGUAUUUUAAAUCUAAUAGAACGGCAAUUUCAAUUUUUAAAAUUGAAAUUGCAUUGUAAAUAUACCCUAACAUCGAAAUUGACAAAUGUUUUAUUUUU